rnacentral:sRNA from 15 species
AACUUCCGUGACUUUUUUCAUUUUGCAAACCAUUAAUAGACAUACUGUAUAUGUACAUAGCUUUUAAGCUGUUUGUAUACGAUACAACGGCUGCAUGAGAGCAUGUGUACGUGUGAGGCAUACAAUCUCAUUUCACUCAACAUUCCUAUGCUGCACAGAAUAUCAACUCCAUUUAGCUUACGUUGGCACAAGCGAGAUAGCACAACUAAUUUAAUGACAAAGCAUGAAGCGAUACAGACAUAAAUGCUGCAUUUGCAGUCGCUGCAUCGUUUACAACCAGCUUUGUGGUGCGAUGACAUUAGACUUUGCUAACUGAAAAAACAGAGAUAUGUACAUAUCUUUAUAGGAAAACCAUACAGUGAGAGCGGUAUAAAUACAUACAUAUGUAUUAGCUUGGCUUUCCAGUUUAGCAAAGUCUAGUUUCAUAUGACUAUAAACACAAGACAGUGUAACCGUAGUGCAUUAACACCUGGUCACACCCUUACCCCUAGCAAAAUAUGUAGUACGACUUCUAGUCGGUGAAAAUUUUAUUCGAUCUGACUACUAGGUUUACAACACAAGCUUACCAAGCUGGCAAAAAAACAUUUGACUAGUGUCACAUGAGAAAAAUUCCUUUACUUCUACUGUUCCUGUCUGAGAGAGUGUGUGAAGGGAGAGAUCACGUUAUAUUUCAGUUUGAUAUCACUGGAAACAAACAAUUCGGUUGCUUUAGCUACAAGACCAUCGGAAAACUAGGCUUAAGCAAUUUUAUAUCGAUUUGGAUACUGACGCUGAUCUUACAUAACCCACCAUGCGAAAGCGGUGAUUUUUUAAUCUGAACGAUAUUAUUUUCGUUCAUGAAUCAUGAACUGGCUCACAUACAUACAAAUAAGAAAAUGGCGAAAUGUUAGUCCAAAUAAUAAUUUAGAAAAAAAUCGAAGUUUUGAUAGAAAAAUUUGCGGGGGCGGUGGCACUUGUGAAGCUACAAAUAAAAAAAGAGCCAAAAGUAGCAGAAAAUUACAUAAUCGACGACGGAGUUGGAGCAUUUCAACUCGAUAAUAACUCCGGAGCGCACCGAUUUCUUUACUAACAAAUUACGGAACGUAAUAGGGACGAGCCCAUCAAUGUCAAGAAGUUUAAAAAAUAUGGUGCACGAGAGGAUUAUUUUGGAGUAAAAUUUAUUUGGAACUUCGGGGAAGAGUUCCCUUGGAAGUUUCAAGGAAUUUUAUAAUGUCCUGGAAAAAAUACUUAAAAAAACAUAAUAAUUGAUUAAUUAAUCCAUAUUACUUCAGCGGCGGUG